CAAGAUACCAUGAGCAAUGGAAUUGAACAAUGAUGAUACGGCUUAAUCUGCCGCGUAGCGGCUUACUUGAACAAGAUGGGUUAAGCGUAGGCAGAGAAUUUUGUAGGCCGUAGUGGUGGUCGCGCACCCUGAAGUGCUGGUACAGCUUCGAAAUGGUAAUUACGGAUGCCGAGGGUUUUAACGUACACCGAAGGCAACACAGAAGCAUUCGUUUAAUGGCAAGAAUGUGGAGGUCCGCCGGAGUCCACAGGCCG
rfam:Desulfobacula toluolica Tol2 complete genome